rnacentral:misc_RNA from 1 species
UGCGUAUCAACCUUCCUCACAUUGUAGAAGUCACGAUGAGGUGCACUUUUCUGAGCAAGGAACUCUCGAUCCGCAUUAAGCAUCAAAUGUAGAUUGAAUUUUUGUUCCAGAAGCACUAGGCGAUGGUGGCAUAAAGUUCGGAUGUUUCCAGCUGCUAUUACUUUGAGGAUGUGAUGGAAGUCGGUGAAAAAGGUAGUAGCAUCAGCAACAGGAAAAAGUUUCUCCGUAGAAUCUUCAUUUGCAUAUACAUGAACAACUCCAUCUUCCAUCUGAAAAUAAUGAUCAGAUUUUCCUUCAGGAGUGAAUUCAAAUGGAUUUGGAUUUGGCUUUGGGGUGCAUGGAUCAGAGAUUACUUCUUUCACCCAAGGAGCAACAGCCUCCUUGAAUACAUAACUCUGUCUCAUUUCAAGACAAACUUGCAAGUUUCGGUAGACCUCCGCUUCAUCGGCAGAUGGUGUCUCUCCAGGGGAUAUCUUCAGUCGUACAAAUGUUUCUUGCUCUGGCUCUUUCCGUAGAAUAUCUGCAGCUAUUGGAUCAGGUUGAACACCAUGCAAGUCACCAGAGACACUGUGUGAGCGAAUCAUACUUGCUGCUGCAGCCAGAGCUAUUUGUUCCCCGUCAGCAUCUGGGCCCGCAUUCCCAUUAGUUUGUAGAUAGGCAGUGUCAAGUUUAGUAGUGUCCCUAAUAUUGUCUUCCUCAUCUGAUCCUUCUAUACUUUCAAAUGCACUUGCACUUGCAACUGGAGACUUCGGAGAAGUUGGUCUAAGCGAAUGUGUAGAUCUUGAUUUCCCUUCAGGAAGAGUAUGAAGCCUGGGUAAACCGGCUGGAAUAGAUUCCACAUGUAUCGGACCAUUCCUCCUUUCUUCAACCUCACCUGAAUUGGCCAUCGUCACAUCCGGAAAUGAAGCAGAAGAACCGCGAUAAUAUCCAUUACUCCGGCUACGGUUCCGCCUCCUCACUGCAUAGUUCCUCGAGUAUCCGCCGCCAUCUUCCUCCGUUUCCACGCCAUCAAGGUCCUUACCCUUUUCUAUGGUUUUCGCUAACUCUAGUAACUGAUUUAGGGUUUUCCGGUGCAUAUAGUAAGCGGAUACCGCUACAAUCGAUGCUCCAACUAGUGCCGCCAUCGCUAGAUGAACAGUAUGUGCAUCCAUUUUGUUUGCUCAGGUAAAAGUAACAACAGCUGAUAUCUAAUGAAACUGAGAAACCCUACUCAAUAGUAGAGCUAGAGAGAGACAUGUAUAAGAAAG